CCCUUAGAUGUUCUGGGCCGCACGCGCGCUACACUGACGAAUGCAACGAGCUUAUAACCUUGGCCGAAAGGUCUGGGUAAUCUCCAAAUUUCGUCGUGAUGGGGAUAGAUUAUUGCAAUUAUUAAUCUUCAACGAGGAAUGCCUAGUAAGCGCAAGUCAUCAGCUUGCGUUGAUUACGUCCCUGCCCUUUGUACACACCGCCCGUCGCACCUACCGAUUGAAUGGUCCGGUGAAAUCUCGGGACGGCGGCUUAGUCGCUUGCGUCCGACUGCUGAAACUUGAUUAAACCAUAUCAUUUAGAGGAAGGUGAAGUCGUAACA
rnacentral:rRNA from 1 species